rnacentral:ncRNA from 2 species
AGAUGACCCACGGGAGAGUGCAUGAUUUGUCAUGCCGCCGAAGGCGCAACCGCCCCGGAAACGCUCAGGCCAAAGGACCGUGGAUCAUUU